rnacentral:rRNA from 1 species
UACGUAGGUGGCAAGCGUUGUCCGGAUUUAUUGGGUUUAAAGGAUGCGUAGGUGGCCCUGUAAGUCAGUGGUGAAAUAUCUCAGCUUAACUGAGAGGGUGCCAUUGAUACUGCAGGGCUUGAGUACAGAUGAGGUAGGCGGAAUUGACGGUGUAGCGGUGAAAUGCAUAGAUAUCGUCAAGAACACCGAUAGCGAAGGCAGCUUACCAAGCUGUAACUGACACUGAGGCACGAAAGUGUGGGGAUCAAACAGG